rnacentral:rRNA from 1 species
GUGCCAGCCGCCGCGGUAAUACGUAGGGUGCAGGCGUUAAUCGGAAUUACUGGGCGUAAAGCGUGCGCAGGCGGUCUAUUAAGACAGGUGUGAAAUCCCCGGGCUUAACCUGGGAACUGCGCUUGUAACUGAUAGGCUUGAGUGUGGCAGAGGGGGGUGGAAUUCCACGUGUAGCAGUGAAAUGCGUAGAGAUGUGGAGGAACACCGAUGGCGAAGGCAGCCCCCUGGGCUAACACUGACGCUCAUGCACGAAAGCGUGGGGAGCAAACAGGAUUAGAUACCCUCGUAGUCC